rnacentral:rRNA from 1 species
GAUGAACGCUAGCGGCAGGCCUAAUACAUGCAAGUCGAGGGGCAGCGGGAGUAGCAAUACUUGCCGGCGACCGGCGCACGGGUGCGUAACACGUAUACAAUCUACCUUUAACAGGGGGAUAGCCCGGAGAAAUCCGGAUUAAUACCCCAUAACAAAUUGAAUGGCAUCAUUUGAUUUUGAAAGCUUCGGUGGUUANAGAUGAGUAUGCGCCUGUAUUAGUUAGUUGGNGAGGUAACGGCUCACCAAGACCA